UGAAAAAAUUGACGUCGCUUGGCAGUUUAAUAAAUUAAUGAUAAAAACCUGCUCAUUCAGUUCCAAAGUACCCGCGGCCUGAUCUGUUUGAAUAGAAGCGCUGCCGUGGAUGCAACUUCGACGCGAGUGAGAAAACCUCCGCUCGGCCACCGGGAAAACCGUUGCUGCUUCAGUUAAGGCGGCGUCCAUUUAUUACGUAACGCUAAAUUUGGAAAUUUUUGACCCCCUCCCCCCCCUUCAUAACGCUUUUUGUAUGAAAUUUUUUAAAUUUUUGUAUGAGUCGUAACGCUUGAGCCUACUCCCCCCCUCCCCCUAGAGCGUUACGUAAUUUGUGAAUGCCGCCUAACCAGAAACAACCGGAAUUGUAAAAGAUGACCGAAAACGGACCAGUCGAACCUGCGGCCACUACCAGAGAUGUGAAAAACAUCGAAACGCGAUUGAGGAUCGUAAACGAGACUUGCAGCAGCAAGAUUGAUGCGAGAGAAGCUAAAAUACCGUGAAGAGUCGAAACAAGCAUUUAGCGAAUGUAUUUUAAUUAUUAAGUUCAAGAACAUAUUAGUGUAUAAGAAAGUGUUCAAAGUUUUUAGUUUUUUAGUUUGAAGAAAAAAAAAUAAAAAGUAAAAAAACAAGUUAUCAAAGUUUAAUAGAAUACACUGAAGCGAGUUAAGACGUGUAGAACAGUUCAAUUGAAACAUUUACGGAUUGAAUUAAUAGGUAAUCCCGGUAAUGGAAAUUUUUGUGUUUCUGUUAACAAGUAUUAUUUUUAUUUCUUUUUUAACAAUCUGUAAAUGUUUCAAUUGAAGUAACUGUUUUAUACGGUUGAACUUGUUUCAUUGUAUUUUAUUGUAUUUAUUUUUGUUUCAGGUUUUAUUUAUU